rnacentral:rRNA from 1 species
ACUCCUACGGGAGGCAGCAGUGGGGAAUCUUGCACAAUGGGCGAAAGCCUGAUGCAGCAACGCCGCGUGCGGGAUGAAGGCCCUAGGGUUGUAAACCGCUUUCAGCAGGGAAGAAAAUGACGGUACCUGCAGAAGAAGGUGCGGCCAACUACGUGCCAGCAGCCGCGGUGACACGUAGGCACCAAGCGUUGUCCGGAUUUAUUGGGCGUAAAGAGCUCGUAGGCGGUUCGGUAAGUCGGGUGUGAAAACUCUGGGCUCAACCCAGAGACGCCACUCGAUACUGCUGUGACUAGAGUGCGGUAGGGGAGCGGGGAAUUCCUGGUGUAGCGGUGAAAUGCGCAGAUAUCAGGAGGAACACCAGUGGCGAAGGCGCCGCUCUGGGCCGUAACUGACGCUGAGGAGCGAAAGCAUGGGUAGCAAACAGGAUUAGAAACCCCAGUAGUCC